rnacentral:lncRNA from 1 species
UGGCUAGAUUAGCCAACUGCAAAUCUCAUCUCUCUAGCAUAGAUUUGGUUCCACAUUUCCUUCAAACUUUCAGCUGUGUUUGAAACGGUCAAAAUCAAGAUUUCAUCUUUUAUAACUAUAAGCCCUAUGGAUUAACUUGGUAGAAAAAAGGGGCAUAUCCAGCCUAAGACUAUAAUAAGAAUUUCAUUCAGCUCAGAGACAUGACCAUGUUUAAUCUUGGUGUCUUCUUCUCCUUUUCACUGUGUAACAACUUACAGCUACAGGUUAUCGGUUUGAGGUUGCUGAGUUCUUAUCAACCAAAUCAGCACCACUCACAUAUCUAGCAACAAAGGAUAUCAAACGGAAUGGAGCACCAAUUAACGGUGCAUUGGUGAGCGGAACCUCUUCAUCAUCCUGAUUCACUUUUGCAGCCUCUAAAUCUACUGAAUGAACUUCAUUCUCGUCUAAUGGGAUUUGUACUAUUUCAUCAGACUCGAUUUCUGAUGAAUUUACAACAACACUGCCAUCUAUCUUAGCCACAUGCUCGUGAUUUCUCCUCUCAGCUUUGUCGAUUGCGUCUUCCACAGAUUGCAGCCUUUCAUCUGACUGCAGCACUGCUUCAUUGGGUUUGGAUUUUGGCUCUGUAUCAUGAUCCUGAACGGCUCCAGGCCUCAUAUCUAACGCAAUGGCUGAUUCAUUGGCAACAUGAGCUGCCCCAGAGCUCCUGCUAACUGCAUCGGAUCCUAAAGAUGAAGAUACCUCCAUUGCUGGACCUCUUUGUUCGAGCUCCACAUUUAACUUGUUCACCUAAUAUAAGAAAAUAAUGGUUAUCGAUCCAGAUGACUAUAUCAUAAUCUAAGACUCUUCAGGAGAGAGAAUAAUAAGAGGAAUUACAUUACUAAUACCUUCUCCACAAGCUAUGCAUUUUCACUGACUAAUUUAUCCACCAAUGCUCGGGUAGCUACUAAUUCAGAAUUCAAAUCCCCAUUUUCAAGAGUAUUCUACAUCAAGACAAAGCAAAAUAGGUUAUGGUAACAUGUCAAUGUGCAACAAUGUGUUGCAAGUACAUAGAUAUAUCAAUAGUUAAUACGGUUAGGUCAAAACUGCCCUCAACCUAUCGACUCCGGAACAAAAUUGCCCUCCGUUUACCUUUGGCGAAGAAAAUGCCCCCGUUAACUUUGUGCCCUAUUUCUACCCCUAAAAUCUAACAGAAUCUUGAAUUUCUUUUUUUUUUAAUGCCACGUGUCACGUUUUGAUUGGGACAUAUAAAGAACGGAAAAUUAGGACAUAUAAAGAACGGAAAAAUGGUCAAAACUGCCCUCAAUGUAUUGACUCCGGAACAAAAUUGCCCUCCGUUAACCUUUUUGGGUCGGGUCGGUCGGGUUGAAGUGUAAUGUGAUUUACAAAGAACGGAAAAUUGUGACAUAUAAAGAACGGAAAAAGGGUCAAACUGCCCUCAAUGUAUUGACUCCGGAACAAAAUUGCCCUCCGUUAACCUUUUUUGGGUCGGCGGUUUGAGGUUGCUGAGUUCUUAUCAACCAAAUCAGCACCACUCACAUAUCUAGCAACAAAGGAUAUCAAACGGAAUGGAGCACCAAUUAACGGUGCAUUGGUGAGCGGAACCUCUUCAUCAUCCUGAUUCACUUUUGCAGCCUCUAAAUCUACUGA